rnacentral:misc_RNA from 1 species
CACAAUAAAAUAUGAAGGCUGUACGCGGCUGUGCUCUCGGGCCAGUUUUGCGGAGGCUGAAUUAUUUAUUACCCUUGUCUUUUGCGCACUUGUUGUUUCCUGGGCUGGGUUUCGCCCGCCACCAGGACCACAUCAUAAACCUUUUUAUGCAGUUGCAAUCAGCGUCAGUAUAACACAUGUAAAUCAUUUA